UUCUUUAUGUUACUAACUAACAAUGGAGUUGCAGAUAUCCUUAUUCCAGGUCCUCAUCACCUUCUUCCUGGUUUUGUUUAUGGCAGCAAUCACUAGUAUGAGGAAAUCUAAAGCUAGGAAUUUAACUCAAGGGUUGAUUCCAGGGCCACGGAAAUUACCUUUGAUCGGAAAUCUGCACCAGCUCGCCGGUCCUGGUUUACCCCAUCACACCCUACGUGACUUGGCUACGAAAUAUGGCGCCAUCAUGCACCUGCAACUCGGUCAAAUUUCCACUGUCGUCGUUUCUUCUGCAGAAAUGGCUAAAGAGAUUAUGAAAACCCAUGAUAUUGUCUUUGCUAAUAGGCCUGUUCUCGCUUCGGCUAAGAUUAUAACUUACGGGUGCACUGAUAUUGUCUUUUCACCAUAUGGAAA
rnacentral:lncRNA from 1 species